rnacentral:snoRNA from 1 species
AGACCAUGAUGAGGGCAACACCUAAGUAGAUCCUUCUAUCUUUCCUAAGCCUCGUACAACAAUUUAAAAUCUAGUUGUAUGAAUGAUGUGAUAUCAUUCCUCAUUUU